rnacentral:rRNA from 1 species
GACAGAGGUGCCGAGCGUUAGGCGGAAUCACUGGGCUUAAAGCGUGUGUAGGCGGGCGGGCAAGUACCUUGUGAAAUCCCACGGCUCAACCGUGGAACGGCUGGGUAUACUGCCUGUCUUGAGCCAACUAGGGGCGAGCGGAACAGACGGUGGAGCGGUGAAAUGCGUAGAUAUCAUUUGGAACGCCAAUGGUGAAAACAGCUCGCUGGGAAUGAUCUGACACUGAGACGCGAAAGCCAGGGGAGCGAACGGG